UCGAUACAUGAUGGCUCCCCCACUGAUGAUCGGCUGUCAUGAUGCCCCCGCUUAUCAUGACUCUGCGGACUCAUCUGGAAACUGCAGAAAAACCGCCCAUUUUCGUCAAUUUUUAGUUAAACAGAUCAAAACCAACAGCAAAACAACUUGGACGACUGUGAGUUCCAUUGAAAAUUUAGCAAACAAUAGAGUGGUGCGUCAAUCCUCAUCUUGUCAAAGGAUUUAGUACAGAGGAGUACAUAACGGUAAAAAUUCAGGAAACUUUUUGAAGUUUUUGUGGGCACUGAUUUGCAGAGUGCUCGUGACCAACAGAUAAAAUGGCCCAAUUGCAAAUUUGCAAGCUGUCUUCCAAAACCAAGGAAUUUCUAUUUGCAAGUCUAAUUAGGUAGAAAACCUUUCUGAAAAGUUUAGGAACCAUUGUUAAUUUCAAUUGGUAUAAA
rnacentral:lncRNA from 1 species